CAUAAUCAUUAGUCUUUUAAUUGGAGGCUGGUAUGAAUGGUUGGAUGAAAUAUUAACUGUUUCAAUUAAAUUUAUUUUAGAAUUUUAUUUUUUAGUUAAAAAGCUAAAAUAUAGUUAAAAGACGAGAAGACCCUAUAAAUCUUUAUAUUGAAAUUAUAUUAAUUGUUUAGAUAUUUUAUGUUAUUAUAUUUAAUAGUAUUUUAUUGGGGUGAUAUUAAAAUUUAAAAAACUUUUAAUUUAUUUUUACAUAAAUUAAUGAAUGAUUGAUCCAUUAUUAAUGAUUAAAAAUUUAAGUUACUUUAGGGAUAACAGCGUAAUUUUUUUGGAGAGUUCAUAUCGAUAAAAAAGAUU
rnacentral:rRNA from 1 species